rnacentral:lncRNA from 1 species
CAGUGAUAUAAAUAUUUGUUUUCUUCAUUAUGAUUUUGCAGGUGUUUGCAUAUAUCAAAACUGAUUAAACUGUACAUUUAAAAUAGUUGAGUGUUUAUAUUAUUCUUUCAUUAUAUAUCAAUAAAGCUCUACAAAUUCAGAAAAACUAUUUAUUGCCUCACGGAAGCAGCCUAAAACAAUGACAAACUCAGUUGUGAUGAGGAACCCUAACGACUGCUAGAGGAAAUCAUGGCUCCUUGGGAAAAAUAGUAGGUUUCAGGUCUGGAAACAGAAUGUUGAGCAUAGAACAUGCUAUCAUACCACAGAGCAAGAAAGCUGCUAUAGUCUGAAUGUUUGUGUUGGCUCAAAAUACAUGUUGAAAUUAUAACCCCAAAGGUAAUGGCAUUAAAUGUUGGGUCUUUGGGAGAUAAUUAGGAUUAGAUGAGGUCAUAAAGACACAAUCCUUGUGAAUGAGAUUAGUGCCCUUAUAUGUCCCAAGAGAAGUUGCCUCCCCACUUCCACCAUGUAAGGACUCAGCAAGAAGUUGCCAUCUACCAACCACAGAGCAGGCCCUCAACAAAGACUGAAUUUGCUGUUGCCUUGAACUUGGACUUCCCAGUCUCCAAAAUUUCAUCUCAUGGUCACUGCAAUAAUCACAGAUUCUAUAACAUCCUGAGUGAAUGGACUACCCUGCUGAACAAGUAAACUUACUGAAUCUGGAUUUCCAAAUAAAGCUGGAUCCCCAUCUCUCACUUUAAACAAAAAUAAACUCAAGAUGAAUCAAAUACCUAAUUUAAGACCUGAAACCCUAAAAAUUCUAGAAGAUAACAUUGGAAAAACCCUUCUGGAUAUUGGCCUAGGAAAAUAAUUCAUGACUAAGACACCAAAAGCAAAUGCAACAAGAACAAAAAUAAGUAAACAGAAGCUAAUUAAACUAAAAAGCUUCUGCACAGCAAAAGAAAUAAUCAGCAGAGUAAACAGACAACCCACAGAGUAGGAGAAAAUAUUUGCAAACUAUGCAUCUGACAAAGGACUAAUAUCUGGAAUCUACAAGGAACUCAAACAAAUCAUCAAGAAAAAGUCAAAUAAUCCCAUCAAUAAGUGGGUAAGGAUAUGAAUAGAUAGUUCUCAAAACAAGAUGAACAAGCAGCCAACCAAUGUAUGAAAAAAAUGCUCAACAUCACUAAUUAUCAAGAAAAUGCAAAUUAAAACCACAAUGGGAUACUCCACCUUUCUUCUACAAGAAUGACCAUAAUUUAAAAGUCAAAAA